rnacentral:lncRNA from 1 species
CCAGAGUAAAAAGUCUUCUAAAUAGGACACAUCUAACUUCAGCUUCCAGCUCCCUCUGAAUCUCCAGUUCUACUCACUCCUGACUGUGACUAGUCCUUUUAUGCUCUUUUAGAGGUGUGAACUCAAAGGUUGAUUCCUCCUCUGAGAGUUGGAUUGUGGGAGUACUUCGGAAAUACGAACUCCAAACUGCAGAAAUUUGUUGAGGCUGAGAUAGCAGUAUGGCAAGAUUCACUCCUGCUGGACCAGAGAGAUCUGAAAAAUGGAAGGAAUGAGGCAUUACAAGUCAGCAUUAUUAUGCCAAAUGUAAGCCCAUCCUUAUCUCUGAUAGAGACCAAUCACACUUAUAGUUUAGCUUGCAUC